rnacentral:rRNA from 1 species
ACCUAAUAGAUACCCCGGGGUAGUCCACGCCCUAAACGAUGCGAACUGGAUGUUGGGUACAUUACGGUACUCAGUGUCGAAAGCUAAACGCGUUAAGUUCGCCGCCUGGGGAGUACGGUCGCAAGACUGAAACUCAAAGGAAUUGACGGGGGUCCCGCACAAGCGGUGGAGUAUGUGGUUUAAUUCGAUGCAACGCGAAGAACCUUACCUGGCCUUGACACCUGUCGAAUCCUGCAGAGAUGCGGGUAGUGCCGCAAGGAACGACAAGACAGGUGCUGCAUGGCUGUCGUCAGCUCGUGUCGUGAGAUGUUGGGUUAAGUCCCGCAACGAGCGCAACCCUUGUCCCUAGUUGCCAGCACAUCAUGGUGGGAACUCUAGGGAGACUGCCGGUGACAAACC